rfam:Salmo salar isolate Sally breed double haploid chromosome ssa20, whole genome shotgun sequence.
UUCACACAUGAUUGUAAGUCACUUUGAAUAAAAGCGUCAGCUAAAUGGCAUUUA